GGCAACCCACUCCAGUACUCUUGCCUUGAAAACCCCAUGGACGGAGGAGCCUGGUGGGCUGCAGUCCACAGGGUCCCAAAGAGAUGGCAGGGUCCCCUGCCAUCAGGGACUGGGGGCUCAGACGGGAGAAGCAGGUGAACGUUUUCUCACCUCUGGGGCUGCAGCCUGCUCGCCCCUGGCUGGCUCAGUGCUGGGGGUGGGCAGUGAACGCGGGAGGGGUGUGGAUCAGGCCUUUUGGGCAGGCGUGGAACAACUGGCAGCCUCGUCCGGCUUGGGAAGAGGACCUCCGCCGAUCGCCUGGAUGCCAAGGGGAGGCUCAUCUGGGUGGACUUCACAGAAGGACAGGCUGCGUCGCAGGGGUAGGGCGUUGAGCCUGCCCUUGAGUUCUCUGGUCGUGAGUGCCCAGCGACUCUUGGAAUGAUUUGCCCAAAGUCACAGCACAAAUCCUUGGCACAGGCAGGAUCAGCCCAGAGGCUCUCGGCCGGGCAGCCUCCUCCCAGGUGCGGGGAGCAGCGGCCCCUGGUCAGGGAAGGGCGGACCCUUCGCAUGGCCACACAGGACAUGUGUUGAUGGGCCCAGUGGACUCCAGGGAGUGGCACAUGGAGAGAGGCAGCCAGCCUGGGGCUGUGGCCUUCCCGGAGAAGCGUCCUCCUCCUUGGCUUUCACGAGCGGCAGCAGGUAGCUCACAGCUCAGACCCGCUGCAUGGACUUCCCCAAGGAAAGGGAAGCUGAGGCCUCUGGUUUCCUUGGGGUCACGUUUUGGGAGGGGCAGCUGCACCCCUGGUGGGGCUUGAGGCCAUCGGUAAGAGAAACGGGCCGGGCCGGGGUGCAGGGGCCGGGAGGGAAGAGACGGGGAACUGUUUGCUCGCUCUGCUCAGCCACCGAUGACCUGACCCGGGACGGCCUGCUCCCAGGGUCCCCGAGGACCGGCCCACAGCAGCCAUUGAGGAGGACAGAUGUGGGCGUACCCAGGCACUCACACACACACACACACACACACACACACACAACCACACACGACUGAGUGACUUCACUUUCACGCAUUGGAGAAGGAAAUGGCAACCCACUCCAGUGUUCUUGCCUGGAGAAUCCCAGGGAUGGCGGAGCCUGGUGGGCUGCCAUCUAUGGGGUCGCACAGAGUCAGACACGACUGAACAACUUGCACUCCCCCAGUUGUGCAUUGUAUAUCCACAUUAUGCAUUGACCCAAACCUCGCCCGUCAGCAGGAAUACCUGCUCCACCAUAACCAGCAACAUUCUCUCAGCAUCAAGACAACUCUUUAAAAGACAACAUUCCUUUUUGAGCUUAUAGAAAGUCACAUGACCCACCAUGAUGACCCACCAGAUUACAUCUGGAUUAUGAAAACUCAAAUACGAAUACAUCACUUAACGUACUGCCCUCUAUCUCAAAAAACAUAUAAAUUGUCUUGACUUUUAAUGGGCAGAACAACUCUCUCAGCUUUCUGAGGUGCUCUUCCCAGGCUAUAAUCUUCAAAUUUGGCUCGAAUAAAAUCUUCAAAUUUU